AUUGAACGCUGGCGGCAGGCCUAACACAUGCAAGUCGAGCGGAUGAAGGGAGCUUGCUCCUGGAUUCAGCGGCGGACGGGUGAGUAAUGCCUAGGAAUCUGCCUGGUAGUGGGGGAUAACGUCCGGAAACGGGCGCUAAUACCGCAUACGUCCUGAGGGAGAAAGUGGGGGAUCUUCGGACCUCACGCUAUCAGAUGAGCCUAGGUCGGAUUAGCUAGUUGGUGGGGUAAAGGCCUACCAAGGCGACGAUCCGUAACUGGUCUGAGAGGAUGAUCAGUCACACUGGAACUGAGACACGGUCCAGACUCUUACGGGAGGCAGCAGUGGGGAAUAUUGGACAAUGGGCGAAAGCCUGAUCCAGCCAUGCCGCGUAUGUGAAGAAGGUCUUCGGAUUGUAAAGCACUUUAAGUUGGGAGGAAGGGCAGUAAGUUAAUACCUUGCUGUUUUGACGUUACCAACAGAAUAAGCACCGGCUAACUUCGUG
rnacentral:rRNA from 1 species